ACAAGUCGCCCCAUCUCCACACCACACGGUAGUUGUAUCACCUCGGGCAAGAAGCAGCAGCAUCCAUGGCGCCAGCGAUGCAGAAGGCCGUCCCGUCCGGGAAGGAUCUCAAGGGCGAGAAGCCGCGGCCGAAGGGCAAGCCUGAAGGCAAGGGAAAGCCCCACGCCGUCAUCGAUAGGAAAUUCUCCUAGUCUAUGAAUUAUGCUCCUUGCCUGAACAACGGUGCCCGGAGUGUGCUUGGUCUUCUCUA